UUUCCAACGCUGCCCUCGCUCGCUCGCUGCUGCUACUGCUGCUAACCACCUCCCCCUCCACGCUCACAACUUGCGCUGCUGGCCGCUGCCUGCGCAGGUCGACGCGCACAGCUCCGCAGGUUCGAGUCCAGAGGGAGGGCAGACGCAGUCCUCUUGCAUUCCUAAGUCCAGCAAACGCGCUCUUUAAAAACCAGGCGCCACAUUUCUAUAGCUCUUUAGAAUCUUCCAAGUUCUUCAGAACCAUCGUCGUCGUAGCUAUCCCCCUACAACAACCCUGGAAGGUUGGCAGGAGCAGGGACCAAGCAACAGGAGCUCACCCCGUCACGGGGAUUCGAACCGCAGACCUUCUGAUCGGCAAGCCCUAGGCUCUGUGGUUUAACCCACAGUGCCACCCGCAUCCCAUUCAUGGCUUCUUAUCUCACUGCAAAGCAACAUGGCGAGGGGCCAAGGGAGCUGGUGUUUGUCCACAGACUGCUUUCUGGGUCAUGUGACCAGCAUGACUAAACCACUUCUGGCACAACGGGACACUGUGACGGCAGCCAGAGCGCAUGGAAACACUGUUUACCUUCCCACACUGGCAUGCUUUUGAACUGCUAGGUUGGCAGAAGCUGGGACAGAGCAAUGGGAGCUCACCUCAUCGUGGGGAUUCGAACUGCUGCCCUUCUGAUCGACAAGCCCAAGAGGCUCAGUGGUUUAGACCACAGCACCAUCUGCAUUCAGCCAUUACACAGAGGCAAACCCAGGUUUGGUGGAUGCAGCCAAUGAAGAGCUCCCAGAUGGCUGGGUGUGCUGGGAUAUCAUGCAAGUUUCCAAAUACGUUGCUGCAUUUACACUGUACAUUUUUAGGCAUUCACUUAACACAUCUUAGGUGACAUAAACCAGUCCAUUCUCCAUAAGGGCUCACCAUUGGCUUGACCCGAGUUCAUUAUCUUUAAAUGGGGUUGAUAGGAUGUGAGAGUUAACAAGGUAGUGACAAUUACGGUAUGCUAUUAUACAAUAAUUAAUGCAACAUUUACAUUUUCCUGUUAGGAACUGCUUGAACAAAACUGUCUGCUAAUGAUUUAAAUUAGCAUUUAAAAAAGACUUCUAUUGAACACUCACAACUAUCAUUGCUGCAGAAUAACAUAUAUAUAUAUGUAUAUCACUGAUUAUAAAUACAGAGAGAGAGACAUGGGGAGAGGGAGAGAGAGAGAGAGAGAAAUGAGGGAAGCAAAAUUUACUGUAACAAACAUUUGUUAUUCAAAUGUUUCUGACAUGGAGUCUAAUUGUGUUUGCAUAUCACUGUCAUGUAAAUAAUAUCACUGAACCUCAGCCUAAAAUGGUGCUAGCAUUCUGGAAAAAAAAGAUACAUAAAGAGAACGAGACAAUUUUGCUUGGCUUGACAAGUCUUUCACAUUACCCAUAUACUGUAUGUUUUAAGUUAAACCAAAAUAUAGCCAGGGGCAGACAGGAGUUUUAGCAGUGACCACCGUAAUACUGAGUAUUUUUAAUUACUGUAACAAUAAAUCACAGAGGAAUGUCCUCCAGGAGUGAAAUAAUUUUCUUAAAAAAAGAAAAAAGCCCAACAUCUUGGAAUAUUUCUGAAAUUCAAUUAAUUGAAGGCACCAGAUAAAAGGUACAAGUUCUUAAUGGUUGUAAAGGAACCCUAAGGGAUGGAAGCGAGCUCUCAGCUCAACUUCAAAGUGUGACAGAAAUACUUACAGUAUUACUUUAAAAAGUAUUCAGAUCAAUGAAUCAGUUAAAAUUACUUAUACAUUUAAGAGCCUUUUCAUUUUCUCUUUUUGAGCUGGAGAGACAGAAGUGCUCUCAUUUCCUGCGAUACAAAAAAAAGA